CACCACACUGUGGUUGAAUUGGUCAUAAGAAUUUGAAUUGAAUUUGAAUGGGGAGUUGGAGUAAAUUAAGGAGAAAAUUCGGUGGAGGCAUUGGUGGAAUUGUUGAAAGAUUUUGAAAUAGGAGAAGUUGGAGCCGAUUGAGGGGAGUUUUGUUUAGGUAAAUUCAGCUAGAGAGUGCAUUGGGUGCAUUUUCGACAAUUGCUUUCCUUUAUGCCGAUUUAUUUUAUUUUCUCUCUUCUAUCUAUAGUGCCAAAGAUUGCCAUAGACUUUUUU
rnacentral:lncRNA from 1 species